ensembl:lncRNA
CCCCCCCCCCCCCCCCCCCCCCCCCCCCCCCCCCCCCCCCCCCCCCCCCCCCCCCCCCCCCCCCCCCCCCCACUGGCUGGCCCGGCCGGCGCUGCCCGCCGCCAGCCCCAGCGCUGAAGGUGAGCCUGGCCCUGCCCCAUCCCCCUUCCCCGCCCGGUGCCCGCAGGGUGAGGAGGGGCUGGCUGGGGGUGCUGUCCCCUGGGUGAGGAGGGGCUGGCUCGGGGUGCUGUCCCCUGGGUGAGGAGGGGCUGGCUCGGGGUGCUGUCCCCUGGGGGUGACAGGCUGUGCUCGGUCCCGCAGGUGCGUGCCGGCCGUGCAAUGACACCGAGAUCCUGAUGGCCAUUUGCACUAGUGACUUUGUGAUCCGCGGCAGCAUCCGCAGCGUCUCCAACGACGCCGAGCUGCAGGAAUCCAUCAUCGGGGUGAGCGCCACCCGCAUCCACCGGCAGAAAUUCCCGCUCUUCCGGGCGGGCGGAGAUCGGAAGAGCGGGUCAGCAGGAAUGCCCCCC